UUGGUGUUGCUACGACGGGUCGGACGCACCAUCUUAACAAGAGAGGAUAUCACAAACACGUAAAUGCAAAACAUUAACGAAAACUGUAAACAAUAAUCAAAUAGGAUCAAACACGCGCCUACUUUUUACCCAUCCUCACACGUCCUAAUAAACUCUCACAAUCCUAUACCUUAAAGUUACAAAAGAUUUUAAACCUAAUCUCUGAUACCAUUUCUUUGUCACGCCCCAAACCCGAGGCAUAACAGAUGCCACAUAUCUACUAAAUUAGUAAAUAUGCAAGGCUACAGAAUCAGACAAUUAACAUACAAAAGAUGAUCAUAAAAAUAGAAAUCCAAACUGUCGAAAGAUGAGGUCAACAAUUUAAUUUUAACUAGAAUCAAAGGAAUUCACAUAUAAGCAGAACUAUCAUUUAUUAUGCCAAUCAAACAAAAUUU
rnacentral:lncRNA from 1 species